rnacentral:tRNA from 1 species
GGCGGUGUAGCUCAGCUGGUUAGAGCGGGAGAAUCAUAAUCUCUGUGUCCGGGGUUCGAGUCCCUGCACCGCUA